GAGACCCACGCCAACAGUUGCCAGCAUGUCUUCCGGGAUGGUGGGGACACUGUUGGGACCGCCUCUGCUAAAGAGGAGGAAGGAAUGGGCAACGGUAGGUCAGCAUGCCCCGAAUUAUCCGGGCUACACGCGGGCUACAAUGGUCAGGACAAUGGGUAUCGACACCGAGAGGUGAAGGCAAUCUCUUAAACCUGUCCUUAGUUCGGAUUGUGGGCUGCAACUCGCCCACAUGAAGCUGGAAUCCGUAGUAAUCGCGUCUCAAAAUGGCGCGGUGAAUAU
rnacentral:rRNA from 1 species